UAAACCAUAGGCUUGGGGGCAGAGUGAUGUUUCAAUCAAUGUAGGUCCAUCGAUUAUAACAAAUGUAUCAUUGUGGAGCUGGGUGUGAUAGUUGGGAAGGCUAUGCAGGUGUCAGGGCAGCAGGUCUAUAGAAAUUCUCUCUGUUUUCUGUUCAAUUUUUCUGUGAACUUGAAACUGCUCAAAAAUAAAUCUUUUCCAUUUUUUUUUAAGUAAAACUACACCAAUUGUGGGAAAUGCAAUGAAAGAGGUCACGCAGGGAACGUAACCGUCCAGCACAGUCUGGCAGAGUCAGGAAAGCAGUUCAUCGUAAGCGACCUUUGAGCUAAAAGUUGAAGCAUAAACGGUGGAAAUAUCAAUUGUGCUAAAUGCUGUAACUUGACAAACCAAAGGGAUCAUAUGUACAACAUGAACCUGAUACAGGACAACAUACCAGUCCUACUUAAGACUGUUACCGUAUGUGGCAAGUAAUGCUUGUAAUGCUAAGUUCACUCAUGUGAAGUGUGCCUCAAAUCUGGAAAAAGAAAACACGGGAAGGGGCCAAAUAUUGUCAUGGUAAUGGAAACACAAAGCACCCAGGCUAAAGGCUUUCUAAUAAGGAAGAACAGCCAGCAUUCGGUGAGUGUUCCUCCCAUGGAAGUUGACAUCUGUUAUUCAUUUGUUGAUUCAAGCUUUGAAGAAAAGCAGCGUAACUGGAAAUACUUCUAUGUUCUGGGAAAACAUAGAGUGGAAGACCUCUUAGUUCUUUUUAAAUAUUGGUCCAUUACUUUUAACAUGUAGUACAAACUGGCUCUCUCCACUUCAAGAAUGGGCGAGAGAGUUUGGACAAUAUCAAGAGUCAAUAAUUUCAUAGCUGUGAAAGAUCAAAGUUGGUGUCUUGACUAAACAAGGAGAAAGGAGCUCUCUGAUCAUGGAGAGGACAGUUUUGGGGUGCUCGGGAAGAAGUAAGAGAAAAUGUAUAUUAAAGAGGAGGUGAAGAGGGCAUCAUAAUGGGUAGAUAAUUAUCACUGUAUUGCCAAUUUUAGAAAAGAAAUAACAAGGUAAAGAAGAAUGCCCAUAUAACUACCUAAAUACCCAUGCAGUGUAUGGUUCAAAGCCAGAAUAUUGGUAACAAACAGAUGUGGAUUUCAGUGUACCUUUGACCAAUGAUGAGCUCUAAGUCUUCAGGCAAGUUUCUGGGUCUCUCUACAACCCAAAGUCUUCAUCUGUAAGAUGGAAACAUUAUUAGGAUGUACCUCAUGGGUUUUUGGCAGAAUACUAAACUAUUGGUCACACUCAAGUGGACAGAGAGCCUGUUGACUCCUUUGCUCCAGACCAGCUUCCUGGAAACAUGGAACAAGUUUUAGGUGGUUUCACUUUCUCCAAGCUCGUCCUGAUACACCAAGUGGUGACUCAGAGCUCAAGUCCGGGUCCUGACUGUCCGCAAACCUUGAGCUCCCUCUGCCAUGCAGGAUGCCUUUCCACCAAUCAGCAUCCAGACUCACACCAAUGUCCAUUUUUAAUUGGAGUACGACAUCCAUAUAGGAAAGGGCAUCAACCCUAAGGGCACAGCACAGGGAAUCUCCACACACCGGACGCGCCCACAUGACUAUCACCGCACCAAGAAGGAAUGCGGGACCGACAACCCAGAAUCUCUUCACUUUCUCCUUUCUUGUCACUAUCGCCCAAAGGACUAACCACCGCCCUGACUUCUAACCAUAAUUUUUUGCCCUUAAAAUUUUUAAA